rnacentral:lncRNA from 1 species
AUCGAAGGAUGAAUUUCAUAGGCCGUGGCAUCUCACCAGGGUUUUGCAAGAUGCCACGUUUGCUGCUUAGUGACUCGUGGAGCAUCUGCAGAGAGCCCUCUGUUUGUCGGCCUCUAGGGAACUGGCAAAGGGCAUUCUAGUGUCUGCCUUCCUCUUCCCAGCCCGCUGAGCAUGUACUCCAUCCUCCACGGCCUGCUCUGCCUGUAGAUGCAGCCUCGCUUGUUGACUUUGCCUGCUGCACCUUGAAAAGCCCUGAGUCUCUGACUGCUGAUCCUGGACUUUUAGAGCUGGAAGAGAGAUUUGAGAUGACUGAGCCAAUCCUGUCCCUCUUUAGAAAGUGCUCCACAUUUCCUCAUCUCUUCUUUGAUGACUAGAAGCUGUCUUCAGGAUGGUUUAGGAGAGAAUUUCACAAAAAUAAACAGACAAUCUGUUCCUUCAAGAUAAAGGUGAUGUUUUAACAAUGCAUGAGAAAGUCAUUGGUUUUCAAAAGAGUCUUGUCUGAUGGCGAGAGCAUUUUUGAAAAUAGAUGGUCAGAAAUCUGUCCAACGUUACGUGAUUUUGUUGCUAAAAAUGACGUGUAUCAGUUAUAAAAACCUCAUAUCUGCACACUUAACUUUGAAACUGAAAUUUCCAACUCCCUUCAGCAAUCUUCCAAAUGGAGAGUUUGCGUUUGCAAUGUAUUGAGGAAUUCUAGGGAGGACGGUGGUGCAGACCCGGCUCAUCUAAGGCAGGCGAGCUGACGCAAGGGAGAGAGCAGGCACGGUGUGGAGACGGCAAGCCUGUGCUCCUCGGCCACGCUUUCGGGGCCCGGGAAGAAUCCAUCCACAUCUUCAUUGUUUUCCCUGAUACCACGAGUUGGCCUUCUCAGGAUGCCCAGACUGAUCUCUUUGUCAGCUGCCAACUGAUUUGUUUACCCCAAGAAUGUGCCUGCAGGAUUCACUAGUCCCAGGCUGCCAGCUGGGUUCUCCUCUCUUCCCUCUCAUGCCUCCUGUUUGUAAUUUUGUUUCAUGACAACAGUCCAUUGACCUUUUGUCUGAGUAAAUAAAUUGCGUGUACAACAACAA